GCUUGAAAAUGACCAAACACAAUGAUUGUUUCUCCAAACAGUCAUUAGAUUUUUUUGGAGGUGCAACUUGAUGGAUAUUGGCCCACAAAAUUUGGCAUGGAUUCAACCAGAAAUGAACUGGCUUUGGUAUCAAUGGAGCAUCCAAGAUCCUCUGCAUCAAUUACAGGAGGCCCAACCCUGUUAAAUGGUUAUUGAACAGUUCAUACCUCCAAUUUUUUUUGUUGUGACACAGUGGCUUAUUAAUCACCCCAAGUUUCAGAAAAAUCCACUUUACAUCAGUGGUGACUCAUAUUCAGGCAUAAUCAUCCCCAUGGUGGUUCAAGAAAUAUAUAUCCAAUGGUAAUGAUGCAGGGAAAGAGCCAAAAAAUGAAUAUUCAACAUAUUCGAGGAAUAUGACAUGGAACUCGUAGGAGCCAACUCAGAGGAAGAUGACAUAAGUAGGAGUCGAAUAGCAGGCGCCGAAAAGCGCGUUGCAGCGAGCUCCGCUGGGAGGCAAAAUCGUCCAAUGGGAAAUCGAAAUCUCUCUUAUCCAGACAGUGACUGCCAAGAGCUCAACAGCAGAGGGCUUAAGCACUUGUCUUGAAACUGGGUUUGCGUGUCAUACUGCUGUGUUCAACCCCUAGAAACUCCCAGUUUCUACUUCACGUUUUCAUUCAAUCUCAGUUUUAGUAUUGCUUGUUUGAUUUCUCAGUGGAAGAUCCCAAUGGAUAAGGAGACUGUGAAUCCGGAAGACGGUUUCUGCGUCAGGUUUUUGAAGUGUUUGGGAAGUGCUUCUUCAAGCAAAAAAAUUGCAAACUUUAUGAUGAAAUCAGAAACUGAGUCUUUGAGGUUUUUCAAUUUGUGGGGGAACUGAUGAAUGAAAGAGAUGAGGAAAAGGGGAAGGGGAACAAUGCAUGGUUUCCAUGUUGGUUGAAUCUUGGGCUUUCCCUACUUGUGAGGGCUUAGGUUACUCUUGGCAUGUGUUCGAAUUGAAUCUGGGUUAUUUGGAUUGUUGGAAGAGAUCAUCGAUUUCAUUUGUAGGUCUUGUUUGUUGAAUGAAACCCAUUUUACUUCUUCUAAUCUUGCCAAAGCCAAGUAAACAAUCAUCACUUUUAGUAAUCUUGAUGUGAUUAAUUGUAUUCUGGCUACUGAUACGACAUCAUUGUCUUGUCCAAUUGCAGGAAUUUGGAGGAUGAAGUCUCGCUUAGCUCCUUCAGCCCAAUUGAUGGGUAGAAAAACCAUGUUCACAGUGAUUUAGUGAUGUGUUUUAUGUCUCUAAACAUUCCAGUGAGAUGCA